GGACACCACUUGGAGUUUCCUUAGCUCCAGGUCCUGUCUGGGACCCUGCAGCCCAUCUGUCCUUGGCUCUAACAUGCAUUUUCAGCCAUGACUGUGUCAUUCUUCCUACACUUGAAACAAUUGCCAGGAUGUCAUAUAUGUGCUGGGCAGUGGAGUGAGGCUGUACAGGAGCUGCAUUUGUACAAUUCCAGACAACAUCUCUUGGCUGCGUCACUGUGAAGCCCAACUGAGCCUUGGAAGUCUCGUUUUUCUGUAGUAGUAUAAAAGUCUAAGCAGAUCAGA